GACGAACGCUGGCGGCGUGGAUUAGGCAUGCAAGUCGAACGGUAUCAUCCUUUCGGGGGUGAGAGAGUGGCGAACUGGUGAGUAACACGUAGGUUAUCUACCCUCAAGACGGGGACAACCCAGGGAAACUUGGGCUAAUACCGGAUGUGAGCAACUUUUAGUUGUUUGAAAGGUGGCGUAAGCUGUCGCUUGGGGAUGAGCCUGCGUCCUAUUAGUUAGUUGGUGAGGUAACGGCUCACCUAGGCAAUGAUAGGUAGGCGGCCUUAACGGGUGGUCGCCCACACUGGGAUUGAGAUACGGCCCAGACUCCUACGGGAGGCAGCAGUCGAGAAUAGUCUACAAUGGUCGGAAGACUGAUAGUGCGACGCCGCGUGAACGAUGAAUCCUUCGGGUGUAAAGUUCUUUUAUAUGUGAGCAGUGCUUCUUAUAUUAACAGUAUGGGGAGAGAGAUAUUAGCAUAUGAAUAAGCAACGGCUAACUCCGUGCCAGCAGCCGCGGUAAUACG
rnacentral:rRNA from 1 species